AUACGGAGGGUCCGAGCGUUAUCCGGAAUCAUUGGGUUUAAAGGGUCCGUAGGCGGGAAUCUAAGUCAGUGGUGAAAUCUUGCAGCUCAACUGUAAAAUUGCCAUUGAUACUGGAUUUCUUGAAUUAGUGUGAAGUGGCUAGAAUGUGUAGUGUAGCGGUGAAAUGCAUAGAUAUUACACAGAAUACCAAUUGCGAAGGCAGAUCACUAACACUAUAUUGACGCUAAGGGACGAAAGCGUGGGGAGCGAACAGGAUUAGAUACCCGUGUAGUCC
rnacentral:rRNA from 1 species